UUGUGUAUGUCUGCUUUUAGCUAUUCCUACUGUUGUAUUGAUGAUGAUCGAGGUUAGUAGUAAAGCAGAGACAACGAUAUGCAGGACUGUUGGAUCUUCGACAACUAAGUGCACUCUCCCACACUCUAACUCGGCUGUUUCUCUAAUAUUUCUGUGUACUACAACUGGACUGCCUCGUCCUGUAAUACAGUUGGUCAAAGAUUCGGAUUUGAUUUAUCGGGAUAAUUCAACAUACUCACUGCUCCGUGUAGUCAAGAAUCCUCUCUUGGGUAUAUAUCAAUGCAUAGCAACUAACGACUUUGGGAGUCGGCAAGCCUCAUUAUAUCUUGAAUUGAAAGAAACCUCAAUGACUGAAAGUCCACACUCAUGACAUCAUUACUACCUACUACUGCUAUGACUGCACCUACUUCAUCAGCUAUUAGCUCAUCUUCUCUUAUUCUUACAAAAAAUGAAAGCAUUGUACAGACAGAAUUGUCCGAUACAGUUAGGUUCAAGGUUGCACCUGUAGUAGUAUCAGCAGUGGUCUUCAUAUUGUUCCUUGUCAUCUAGCGUUGCUCAUAUAUAUUCAGAGAAAGCAUCAAAGAGAAAGCAGCCAAGAUGCCAUGGUUACGAAUGGUGCUUACAAUGUUGUGUCAGACAAGCCCAAAGACAAUGCAGAACAAAUGGAAGACGCAAAUUAUGAAGAAGUUAGAGCAUCAUGAUUCUUGAAUAAUAGCAUGCACAAUAACUGGCAUAUGCCACAACACAAUUGGCUGUACAUGUAGAUAAGGUAAGUGUGUGUAAGUGUUGCUUUUGAGUUUGAUCUCUGAAGUUGAUUACA